AAACCAUGAGUCGGACAUUGGAGAACUAACUUUUGGAACCUGAACCAUGUUUCAUAGAUGGUCUCACCAUCAAUCCGCUUGAAAUUCUAAAUAUUAUCCCUCAACUU
rnacentral:snoRNA from 1 species